UCAGGGCAGAGGAUCCAUCAGGGCUGUGGGUCCUUCUGUUCAUCAGAUAAAUGAUCGGCAGGCUUGUGUCUCAGGUGGUGAAGCAAACAGCUCCAGGACGUGCUUGCGUACUUCAACAGAUCAAGCCAGGUUCCCAAGACUGCCCUUGAGAAGCAGAGGUGGAUCAUGCCUUCUGGAGUGGGGCAUCCCUGUAACAGAGAACACUGGAUGGAAUGCAGUCCACAUGAAGGCGCUUGAUGAGUGAGAAACGUGGAAAGGAA